GGAUUCUGACGGACAGGGCUGGGGCGGGCCAGAGCCCGGACGGAGAGGCGCGCGCGGGGGCGCGAAGCCACGAGAGCGCGAGUGCGCGUGCGCGAGCGGCGGGGCUUUCUCCGGAGCCGUCGGAGGGAGCCGGAGCGCUUCUCCUGAGUUGGUGAUUGGUCAGUGGUGGUCCAACAUGCAGAAGUGACUGAGUGGUGAAAAACAGCAGAGCUGAUGGGUCAUGAGGAUGUAAGUGCGUUGGAAGGCUCUCACACCCUUUACUCCAGGGUAAGUCAAAGGCAUUAUCUGCCAUUGUUUUUCUGAUUUUACUAAGUCCUAGAGGCUCUUGCCUCACUAGCCUGUUAGAGUCAGUGCAAUGAAGUUGUCUGUCUUUUUCGCAAAGCCUUUAUU
rnacentral:lncRNA from 1 species